AGUGCUUUAGUUUCAUAAUACUAAAACAUAACUUUGUGGAAGUUAAGAUCUCUUAGAGAAGUACUA
rnacentral:tRNA from 1 species